rnacentral:rRNA from 1 species
UACGAAGGACCCGAGCGUUAUCCGGAUUUAUUGGGUUUAAAGGGUGCGUAGGCGGAUUUACAAGUCAGUGGUGAAAUCUCCCAGCUUAACUGGGAAACUGCCAUUGAAACUGUUUAUCUUGAGUACAUUUGAGGCGGGCGGAAUGUGUCAUGUAGAGGUGAAAUUCUUAGAUAUGACACAGAACACCAAUUGCGAAGGCAGCUCGCUAAACUGUAACUGACGCUGAGGCACGAAAGCGUGGGGAUCAAACAGGAUUAGAACCUACCGUAGU